rnacentral:tRNA from 1 species
GCGCCAGUUCGGCGACCGUCAGGUUUGGAUCGGCUAUGACCCGGCCGAGACGGGCGACUGUUCCGGUAUGGUGGUGGUCGCGCCGCCACUGGUGCC